GGAGAAACUAGAAGGAACCAUGGGAAAUCAUCAAAUCCAGUCCCCUGCACUCAUGGCAGGACCAAAUACCCUCUUAUGUCAUGCCUGACAGAUCCACCCAGACUAUCUGAUGGAAGAACAGGUUUCAUUGAAGAAUGGGUCUACUCUGAAGAAUGGCACUGAGAGUAACUCGACUAACACGGCUAUCUCUCUGGAACUUGUCUUUCUGAAUGAUGGUAGCUAUUUUGAUGGAACCCUUCUUCUGUGAACACAAUUUGGGUUUGUGCGAUGUAAAUAUGCCAAUUAGGAGAG
rnacentral:lncRNA from 1 species